rnacentral:rRNA from 1 species
CCGACGGUGAGGGACGAAAGCUGGGGGCACGAACCGGAUUAGAUACCCGGGUAGUCCCAGCCGUAAACGAUGCUCGCUAGGUGUCUGGGAUGGUGCGGCCGUUUCAGGUGCCGCAGGGAAGCCGUGAAGCGAGCCACCUGGGAAGUACGGCCGCAAGGCUGAAACUUAAAGGAAUUGGCGGGGGAGCACUACAACGGGUGGAGCCUGCGGUUUAAUUGGACUCAACGCCGGAAAACUCACCUGGGGC